rnacentral:misc_RNA from 1 species
UUGAAAUCCUUAGGAUGUUGCUGGCCUUUCGGGGCAAUGUGCACUCCGCCUUUUCAUCUCACCUGUGAACUUAUUGUAGGCCAGAUUUUUACAAAUCUGUGUCUAUGUUAUUUUUUUACACACACACAAGUCUAUUAGAAUGUUUAAAUGAUAAGACCUUUAUUGGUCAAAAAUUUAAUA